CUCUGGGUUCCGUUAACUCAUCUGCAUGAUCAAGCUGUUACUAACUGACAGAGUUCUGAGGAGUAAAUGAAAUAAUGCAAAUUAAAGGAUGGUUUGUAGUUGUCAUUGUCCAUGCCUACUGAUAACUUAUUUUGUGUUUUUGAAUGAAAAGACAUUUGUACAUUCCUUAAAAUAAUAAUAUUGUUAAAAAGCUGGUGACGCUCACAAAAUCGAUUCCACAAAUCCUGACAGGUCAGGACAUCCCAGCUGGGGCGCCUUUAGUUCUGAAGCUGUGUGAGGGUACCUUACCCUCACAGCACCUCUGUCUGCCCAUAAUGGCCCAAGCAAUAGACUGGCCCUCAGAAUGUGCCUGAGGCAGUUUAAUUAAGGCCAUUUUGGCACUUGACUAUUCCAGAAGGUUGUAUGGAGGUGGGAAAUAGGGCUCUUUCAAUCUUCUCUUCAAUGCUGGCAGCAACCCUGGCUCAGGGCACAGCUGUACCCCCAUUUCCUUCAGAUGUCCCCUCACAGAAGGAUGCCGCUGUCAGAGCAAAGGGGUGAGCAGGAGAGUGACAGAGCUUAAAGAGCAGCCUCCAGUGGACACAAUGUAGACUGGAUUUGAGCAGGGCCUCCAGGGUAAGCACAACGAGAGGUGCUGGAAGAGCCAAGGAUAUGUGUUUGACCUACCUUCCUCUCUGGCCAUGGAGGGCAUCUCUUUCUCUCUGUCUCUCUCUGUCUCUCUCUGUCUCUCUCUCUCUCUCUCUCUCUCUCUCUCUCUCUCUCACACACACACACACACACACACACACAGAGAGAGAGAGAGAGAGAAGACAGCUAUGGCACUUUCUCAGGAGGUAAACAUGAUUUAGGCAAAAUUCCCUCACUUCCUACAGUUCUUUUAUCUUCUCUUUCUCCCUUCCUCGUCCAGUGUUUCUUAAUGACUGGUCAUGGACUGACCCCUGAAUCAAAGUCACUAAAGCCCUGUUAUCAGUGCAGAUUCCUGGUGUCAUCUCAGACUAAGAGAAUUAGCAAGUCUGAAACUGGAGCAAGGGACUCUGCAUUUAAACAAAGUUUUGCCCAUUAAAGUUUGAGCACCACUGAAAAACUCUCUCUUCUUCUCCUGUGUUCUUCCCAACUAUGCAUCCCUAAUCUGUGGCCUGCAUCCAUCUAGCCACCAUUCCCCUCUGCCCCU
rnacentral:lncRNA from 1 species